rnacentral:rRNA from 1 species
UACGUAGGGUGCAAGCGUUAAUCGGAAUUACUGGGCGUAAAGCGUGCGCAGGCGGUUUUGUAAGUCUGACGUGAAAUCCCCGGGCUCAACCUGGGAAUUGCGUUGGAGACUGCAAGGCUGGAGUCUGGCAGAGGGGGGGUAGAAUUCCACGUGUAGCAGUGAAAUGCGUAGAGAUGUGGAGGAACACCGAUGGCGAAGGCAGCCCCCUGGGUCAAGACUGACGCUCAUGCACGAAAGCGUGGGGAGCAAACGAGGAUUAGAAACCCGUU